rnacentral:rRNA from 1 species
GACGAACGCUGGCGGCGUGCUUAACACAUGCAAGUCGAACGGAAAGGCCCUGCUUUUGUGGGGUGCUCGAGUGGCGAACGGGUGAGUAACACGUGAGUAACCUGCCCUUGACUUUGGGAUAACUUCAGGAAACUGGGGCUAAUACCGGAUAGGAGCUCCUGCUGCAUGGUGGGGGUUGGAAAGUUUCGGCGGUUGGGGAUGGACUCGCGGCUUUUCAGCUUGUUGGUGGGGUAGUGGCUUACCAAGGCUUUGACGGGUAGCCGGCCUGAGAGGGUGACCGGCCACAUUGGGACUGAGAUACGGCCCAGACUCCUACGGGAGGCAGCAGUGGGGAAUAUUGCACAAUGGGCGGAGGCCUGAUGCAGCAACGCCGCGUGCGGGAUGACGGCCUUCGGGUUGUAAACCGCUUUCGCCUGUGACGAAGCGUGAGUGACGGUAAUGGGUAAAGAAGCACCGGCUAACUACGUG